rnacentral:rRNA from 1 species
UACGUAGGGCGCAAGCGUUGUCCGGAAUUAUUGGGCGUAAAGAGCUCGUAGGCGGCCUGUUGCGUCCGCUGUGAAAUCCCGGGGCUCAACUUCGGGCUUGCGGUCGAUACGGGCGGGCUAGAGUUCGGUAGGGGAGACUGGAAUUCCUGGUGUAGCGGUGGAAUGCGCAGAUAUCAGGAGGAACACCGAUGGCGAAGGCAGGUCACUGGGCCGCAACUGACGCUGAGGAGCGAAAGCAUGGGGAGCGAACAGG